AGUGAACGCUGGCGGUAGGCCUAACACAUGCAAGUCGAACGGCAGCACAGGAGAGCUUGCUCUCUGGGUGGCGAGUGGCGGACGGGUGAGGAAUACAUCGGAAUCUACUCUGUCGUGGGGGAUAACGCAGGGAAACUUACGCUAAUACCGCAUACGACCUACGGGUGAAAGCAGGGGACCUUCGGGCCUUGCGCGAUUGAAUGAGCCGAUGUCGGAUUAGCUAGUUGGCGGGGUAAAGGCCCACAAAGGCGACGAUCCGUAGCUGGUCUGAGAGGAUGAUCAGCCACACUGGAACUGAGACACGGUCCAGACUCCUACGGGAGGCAGCAGUGGAGAAUAUUGGACAAUGGGCGCAAGCCUGAUCCAGCCAUACCGCGUGGGUGAAGAAGGCCUUCGGGUUGUAAAGCCCUUUUGUUGGGAAAGAAAUCCAGCUGGCUAAUACCCGGUUGGGAUGACGGUACCCAAAGAAUAAGCACCGGCUAACUUCGUGCCAGCCGCCGCGGUAA
rnacentral:rRNA from 1 species